AUUGAACGCUGGCGGCAUGCCUUACACAUGCAAGUCGAACGGUAACGGGCCUUCGGGUGCCGACGAGUGGCGAACGGGUGAGUAAUACAUCGGAACGUGCCCGAUCGUGGGGGAUAACGAGGCGAAAGCUUUGCUAAUACCGCAUACGAUCUACGGAUGAAAGCAGGGGACCGCAAGGCCUUGCGCGGACGGAGCGGCCGAUGGCAGAUUAGGUAGUUGGUGGGAUAAAAGCUUACCAAGCCGACGAUCUGUAGCUGGUCUGAGAGGAUGAUCAGCCACACGGGGACUGAAACACGGCCCAGACUCCUACGGGAGGCAGCAGUGGGGAAUUUUGGACAAUGCGCGCAAGCCUGAUCCAGCCAUGCCGCGUGCAGGAUGAAGGCCUUCGGGUUGUAAACUGCUUUUGUACGGAACGAAAAGCCUUCUUUUAAUACAGGAGGGUCAUGACGGUACCGUAAGAAUAAGCACCGGCUAACUACGUG
rnacentral:rRNA from 1 species